UAUAUAGUAGAGCUACUAUGCUAUCGAAAGUAUAGAGGAUAUGGUGCUUUCAAUUUUUUGAUUCUUAGAUCAAGCCCUUUAAUAAUUUCUUUGAAUUAAUACUAGGGAUAUUAUUUAAUCCUAGGGGGAUCGCAAUCAUUCCAAUCAUACAAUUCUUAAUCAAAGAGUCAAAAAUUCGGAAACAUCAAAUCCACUAUAUUUUCGAUAGCAUAGUAGUUCUACGCUAUAUACAUAUAUAUAUUUAUUAAAAAAUAUAUAAAUAUAAUAUAUUUUAAUUAUAUAUAGGCUGAGUAAAUAAUUUGAGUGUAGUUAAAAUUGGGCCAAUGUUGUUGGCCCAUAAAAACCAACCCAAUAGACAAAUAAAAGAGCAAAAUUUUACUAAAUUUAUAUAUUUUUACUUUCUUUCUUUCUUUCACAGAGCUCUAAAUUUUUAAUAUGUUUCUCUCUUUUUCUUUU
rnacentral:lncRNA from 1 species